GAUGAACGCUGGCGGCGUGCCUAAUACAUGCAAGUCGAGCGAACGGACGAGAAGCUUGCUUCUCUGAUGUUAUCGGCGGACGGGUGAGUAACACGUGUAUAACCUACCUAUAAGACUGGGAUAACUUCGGGAAACCGGAUCUAAUACCGUAUAAUAUUUUGAACCGCAUGGUUCAAAAGUGAAAGACGGUCUUGCUGUCACUUAUAGAUGGAUCCGCGCUUCAUUAGCUAGUUGGUAAGGUAACGGCUUACCAAGGCAACGAUGCAUAGCCGACCUGAGAGGGUGACCGCCACACCUGGACCUGAGCACCGCUCCAGACUCUUCGGGGAGGAAGCAGUAGGGAACCACACCAAAUGGGCGAAAGCCUGACGGGGAAACGCCGCUUGAGGGAUGAAGGUUUUCGGAUCGAAAAACUUUGUUAUUAGGGAAGAACAUAUGUGUAAGUAACUGUGCACAUCUUGACGGUACCUAAUCAGAAAGCCACGGCUAACUACGUG
rnacentral:rRNA from 1 species